rnacentral:rRNA from 1 species
UACGUAGGGGGCAAGCGUUGUCCGGAUUUAUUGGGCGUAAAGGGCGUGUAGGCGGCCAAGCAGGUCCGCUGUGAAAACUCGAGGCUCAACCUCGAGACGUCGGUGGAAACCGUUUGGCUAGAGUCCGGAAGAGGAGAGUGGAAUUCCCGGUGUAGCGGUGAAAUGCGCAGAUAUCGGGAAGAACACCCGUGGCGAAGGCGGCUCUCUGGGACGGUACUGACGCUGAGACGCGAAAGCGUGGGGAGCGAACAGG